rnacentral:tRNA from 1 species
AAAAUUAUAGUUAAGUAUAACAUUUGGUUUGCAUUCAAAAGGUGCCUUCGGGCUAAUUUUA